rnacentral:rRNA from 1 species
GAGGGGCAGCGGGGGAGCAGCAAUGCUCCCGCCGGCGACCGGCGCACGGGUGAGUAACACGUAUGGAACCUGCCCGCAGCAGGGGGAUAAGCGGAAGAAAUUCCGUCUAAUACCGCGUAACACCGCGGAGGGGCAUCCCUCGGCGGUUAAAGAUUCAUCGGCUGCGGAUGGCCAUGCGGCGCAUUAGCUAGUCGGCGGGGUAACGGCCCACCGAGGCGACGAUGCGUAGGGGUUCUGAGAGGAAGGUCCCCCACACUGGUACUGAGACACGGACCAGACUCCUACGGGAGGCAGCAGUGAGGAAUAUUGGUCAAUGGCCGUAAGGCUGAACCAGCCAAGUCGCGUGAGGGAAGACGGCCCUACGGGUUGUAAACCUCUUUUGUCAGGGAGCAAGGGGCAGGUCGUGACCUGCUGUGAGAGUACCUGAAGAAAAAGCAUCGGCUAACUCCGUGCCAGCAGCCGCGGUAAUACGGAGGAUGCGAGCGUUAUCCGGAUUUAU